AUUAAACGCUGGCGGCAUGCCUUACACAUGCAAGUCGAACGGCAGCACGGGUGCUUGCACCUGGUGGCGAGUGGCGAACGGGUGAGUAAUAUAUCGGAACAUGUCCUGUAGUGGGGGAUAGCCCGGCGAAAGCCGGAUUAAUACCGCAUACGAUCUACGGAUGAAAGCGGGGGACCUUCGGGCCUCGCGCUAUAGGGUUGGCCGAUGGCUGAUUAGCUAGUUGGUGGGGUAAAGGCCUACCAAGGCGACGAUCAGUAGCUGGUCUGAGAGGACGACCAGCCACACUGGGACUGAGACACGGCCCAGACUCCUACGGGAGGCAGCAGUGGGGAAUUUUGGACAAUGGGCGAAAGCCUGAUCCAGCAAUGCCGCGUGUGUGAAGAAGGCCUUCGGGUUGUAAAGCACUUUUGUCCGGAAAGAAAUCCUUGGCCCUAAUACGGUCGGGGGAUGACGGUACCGGAAGAAUAAGCACCGGCUAACUACGUG
rnacentral:rRNA from 1 species